AUUGAACGCUGGCGGCAGGCCUAACACAUGCAAGUCGAGCGGAUGAAGGGAGCUUGCUCCUGGAUUCAGCGGCGGACGGGUGAGUAAUGCCUAGGAAUCUGCCUGGUAGUGGGGGAUAACGUUCGGAAACGGGCGCUAAUACCGCAUACGCCCUGAGGGGGAAAGUGGGGGAUCUUCGGACCUCACGCUAUCAGAUGAGCCUAGGUCGGAUUAGCUAGUUGGUGGGGUAAAGGCCUACCAAGGCGACGAUCCGUAACUGGUCUGAGAGGAUGAUCAGUCACACUGGAACUGAGACACGGUCCAGACUCCUACGGGAGGCAGCAGUGGGGAAUAUUGGACAAUGGGCGAAAGCCUGAUCCAGCCAUGCCGCGUGUGUGAAGAAGGUCUUCGGAUUGUAAAGCACUUUAAGUUGGGAGGAAGGGCAGUAAGUUAAUACCUUGCUGUUUUGACGUUACCAACAGAAUAAGCACCGGCUAACUUCGUG
rnacentral:rRNA from 1 species